rnacentral:tRNA from 1 species
UGCGGGGUGGUCUAAGGGAAUGACGCCCGGCUUUGGACCGGGAAACCCCAGGUUCGAGUCCUGGCCCCGCAG